rnacentral:tRNA from 1 species
GGCGCGGUACCCAAGUGGUUAAGGGAACGGUCUGCAAAAUCGUCAUUCGCCGGUUCGAGUCCGGCUCGCGCCU